rnacentral:lncRNA from 1 species
GUAUACCAUCUGGAUUUUGUUUGUUUUCUCGCGAUUGUAUUUUUAGUGCUAAAAUUUUGUUUAACGUUGGAAAGUGACAACUGCCACUCUAGUCAUCUGUCAAAAGUAAACUUUUUCUUUUUUCCCACCAUUGUUUUUUCACAACCGAUAUCUCCUCCGUGUUUCCUUCUCUCCGGCGAUUUUUUGGCGAUUUUUUUUAGCGAUGUGUUGCUGUCCAAGCACGAAGUGCUGUUGCUAUUGUCUCCUCCUUAUCCUCGUCUAUUCUUAUAGGAUUCGUUUUUGGGGUCGGCAUCUUUGCGCAUGGAUUCAAGAAGAUCCAUGACAUGAUUCGCUUCUAGCAGGAUUUGGUUUCUUUCUGUUCUUCUUCGUAUGACAAGAGGCCAUUUUUUGCCCCUGCUCCGACUAUGUUCUAGUGAGAGAAAAUAACCUUUUCAAACCACCAGCCAUGGUUUACCAUUUUCCGAUGAGUUUUUUUUAAUCAAGGAAAUAGUGGAUACCGUUUUAAUGGAUUUCUAUAUGAUUUAUAAGAAAG